UACGAAGGGGGCUAGCGUUGCUCGGAAUCACUGGGCGUAAAGGGUGCGUAGGCGGGUCUUUAAGUCAGGGGUGAAAUCCUGGAGCUCAACUCCAGAACUGCCUUUGAUACUGAGGAUCUUGAGUUCGGGAGAGGUGAGUGGAACUGCGAGUGUAGAGGUGAAAUUCGUAGAUAUUGGGAAGAACACCGGUGGCGAAGGCGGCUAUCUGGACCGACAUUGACGCUGAGGCGCGAAAGCGUGGGGAGCAAACAGG
rnacentral:rRNA from 1 species